GGCGGCAUCGUCCAACGGCUCAGGAUGCCGGGCUUUCAACCCGGCGAUGGGAGUUCGAUCCUCCCUGCCGCCA
rnacentral:tRNA from 1 species